AUGAUGCCCUGGUUAUGCCAAUUUUCAGCACUUUGUUUGCUGGAAUUGGUGCCACUGUCUGACGAGCAUGUUCAAAUGCUCCAGCUCAGUUCAAUUGUCACACUCCUAGCUAGCUCUAGCAGCGUGACAAGGGCACAAGCAGUAGAGGUGAUGGAAAAGAGCAUGGCAGAGAGCAACAGAGAUGCAGGAGAAGAAGUUCAGUCGUUAACUGACGAAACUGAAGAAGUACACGUCGAGCGAGGGAAGCGAGGAAAGGAGGGAAUUGUUGGCGCCAGCAAGUGGGUGACUUGGCAUAGAGUUGUCGGAUGUGGGGCCCAGUGGGCAGUGGGUGUUGUGGCCUAG
rnacentral:rRNA from 1 species